CGACUCUCGGCAACGGAUAUCUCGGCUCUCGCAUCGAUGAAGAACGUAGCGAAAUGCGAUACUUGGUGUGAAUUGCAGAAUCCCGUGAACCAUCGAGUCUUUGAACGCAAGUUGCGCCCCAAGCCUUUGGGCCGAGGGCACGUCUGCCUGGGUGUCAC
rnacentral:rRNA from 2 species